UGAAAUUUGAAAAAAAUAUUUUUUUAUCGUUUAGAAAAGAUUACUCUUUAUUUUUGUGAUCAAAAAAAUUUUCGACUUUUAUAUUUUAAAUCAAUUUUCUUUUUCUUUGAAAAAAAUGCAUGCUUUAAUUCUUCUUUUUAUUUGUAUCAAUUUAUAUUUAAUCUGUAAUAGUGUGAAAGCUAAUUUAUUUAAUGAAAGAGAAGAAAAUUUAAAACUCGAAUCAUGUAAACAAAGGUUACAGAGGUGCUACAAUUUUAGAUCUAAGCAAUACUGACUAUAUGAAACAGAACUAUUUUUCAAUGUUUUCCACGAUUUCAACUAGUGUAAUAUUAAUAUUAAUUAAUUAAUUAACAUUAUUAAUAAUAAUAUAAAUAUAAUAAAAUAACUAUGUAUUACAUAAUAUAAUCAAUAAUUUAAUAAACUUAAUAUAUUUUUA